rnacentral:sRNA from 1 species
GGUGCCCAGUCAUAUAUACCGGCCUUUAUUCCAGCUUGCCAAUGGCUUUGCCCACCGCCUCCUCUGUUCCCGCUCGCAGUGUGAUGACGCCGGCUGCCACCUCCGCUCGUAGUCGAGCGUGGACGUCGACGACCGUCGUUUCCUCCUCUCCCGUUUGAGUGCGACACUAGCAACUGCCAUCUCCUCCGCCCCUUCUUAAUCUUCCUCCCCCUCCCCCUAGCGCCUCCACUCUGCCCAUCCCCUCAGCCAGAUCCAGCCACCGCCGAGGUUGGGGCGCCAGAUUUGGCAAGGACGACAGGCCGGCAACAGGAGGCCUUUCUUGGCUCGAUCGGGGGCUUGGCGACCUCUGGUGCAGUGGUCUGGUGUGCGGGGACGUCAGGAGGUCUCACCAUCCUCACAGUACAGCGGAUGCAGUGACUGUGUGGUAGGGCGACAGGAAGGGAGACAUCUCAGAUGGCAGAUGUCAGUGAACAUCUUGUAUAGGAUCUUUCAUUUAUUUUGCACUCGAGGCGUUCGACGAAAUGCCCAUGGUAUAAACAUGAGAAGUUUUAUUUCUGUCGCGCCCAGUUUUUAGUUUCUGAUUUCUGUUCAGCAGAAAAGGAGGCAUGCAGACAAUCCAUUGUGGCACGGCUGAUGAUCCUAGAGGGACAGUAACUGGAGUUCUCUUUUGUCUGUCUAGUCUAUCUCUGGUUUUGAGACUUUAUAACAUUAUGUAAUUUGAAACUAUGUAAUCUCAGGCUACAUAAUGGAUUUGGACUUGUCUUGUUGUUU